rnacentral:rRNA from 1 species
GAUGAACGCUAGCGACAGGCCUAACACAUGCAAGUCGAGGGGCAGCAUGAAAUUAGCUUGCUAAUUUUGAUGGCGACCGGCGCACGGGUGAGUAACACGUAUGCAACCUGCCUGUAAGCGGGGGAUAACCCGGAGAAAUUCGGACUAAUACCGCAUAAUAUCAUCGAAUCGCAUGUACUGAUGAUUAACAAUUUAUGUCUUACAGAUGGGCAUGCGUAUGAUUAGCUAGUUGGCGGGGUAACGGCCCACCAAGGCGACGAUCAUUAGGGGUUCUGAGAGGAAGGUCCCCCACAUUGGAACUGAGACGCCGUCCAAACUCCUACGGGAGGCAGCAGUGAGGAAUAUUGGUCAAUGGACGCAAGUCUGAACCAGCCAUGUCGCGUGAAGGGUGACUGUCCUAUGGAUUGUAAACUUCUUUUAUAUGGGGAUAAAGUGUGAGACUUGUCUCAUUUUGCAUGUACCAUAUGAAUAAGCAUCGGCUAACUCCGUGCCAGCAGCCGCAGUAAAAC